GCUGAUCACAAAAUCCCAUUGAACUUGCCACCUGCUUAAAAAGAUCUACAAGGAAAAGAGAAAAUGCAAAUGCUCCAGAAAUUUAUCAUCUAAGAAUACAACGGUGAAAUCUCAGAUACUGGAAGUGUAUAGAUCUGAAACAUGCAGCUAAAUAUAUGCUGGGUGUGGGUGAACUCAUUCUGUUUUCUCUCCUAUCCCUGGAACUACAGUAUUAUAUCUGAAAGCACCACCUGACUCAUUUCCCUUCAUUUUUUCCCUGUGUAUGGCACGCAGAUCUACACAUACACAUCAGUCCUGUCCACAAACAGGAACAAUCCAAUUGUCAGUCAAAACCAACAGAAUGCAGGAUUGACAUUUUAAAGAUAUGUAAAGUCAUGCUUUCUUAAUGCCUCCAAAUCAACAAGAGAAAUGUUCAUCUUAAAACUCUGAAGUUUCACCUCACAUCUAUCAGGUUGUCAAAGGUGACAAAAGAAACCGGAGAAGUUUGAAGGGUCAGAGGGAAGACAGGCACAUUAAUGCAAUGCUGCGAAUAGCAAUACCCCUACUUGACAUUACCCCAAGCAGGCCAAAGAAGAAAAAGCCUCGUUUAUAUGAAACAAGUUUGGUGGUAGCAAAGAACAGGAAGAAAAAUGGGGGCCCACUGAUUGAACAAAUUGUGGUAUAUGACUGUAAUGGAAUAUUACUGUUCCAUAAGAAAUGGUGACUAUGAAUAAUUCUGAGAAAUCUGCAAAGACUUGUAUGAAUUAAUGCAGAAUUAAGUAAGCAGAGCCAGGAAAACAGUUUACAUGAUGGCUACAACAACAUGAAGGAAAAAAAAAACGCUAAAAAAAAUUCAGAACUCUGAAGUAAUGCAGUGCUCAAUCAUGAUUCAGAGAGGCCACUAAAGCAAACAUGUCAUCUAAUGCUUGAGAAAGAGGUAGGGGACUACAGAUGUGAAAUGAGGCGUUCAUUUUUAGACAAGAUCAAUAAGGCAAUGUAUUUUGUUUGGUAAUACUUAUUUGUAAUAUGAGAUAGUUUUAAUGGUGGCAGAAGGGAAACAUUAGGAAGUAACAAUGAUAUAAAAAAAGAAAAAGCGCUAAUAAAACAGCUUAAAAAACUAAAGUUAUCCUUUCUUUGGUAAUAAAAUCUUAGUAAUUUUGUAAAGUUAAAACUUAGGAGCACAACUUGAAUUACUAUCAUAAACAAUAAAUCAAGAGUUUGAGAUUA